rnacentral:rRNA from 1 species
UCUAUACUGUGAAACUGCGAAUGGCUCAUUAAAUCAGUUAUCGUUUAUUUGAUAGUACCUUACUACUUGGAUAACCGUGGUAAUUCUAGAGCUAAUACAUGCUAAAAACCCCGACUUCGGGAGGGGUGUAUUUAUUAGAUAAAAAACCAAUGCCCUUCGGGGCUCCUUGGUGAAUCAUGAUAACUUAACGAAUCGCAUGGCCUUGCGCCGGCGAUGGUUCAUUCAAAUUUCUGCCCUAUCAACUUUCGAUGGUAGGAUAGUGGCCUACCAUGGUAUCAACGGGUAACGGGGAAUUAGGGUUCUAUUCCGGAGAGGGAGCCUGAGAAACGGCUACCACAUCCAAGGAAGGCAGCAGGCGCGCAAAUUACCCAAUCCCGACACGGGGAGGUAGUGACAAUAAAUACUGAUACAGGGCUCUUUUGGGUCUUGUAAUUGGAAUGAGUACAAUUUAAAUACCUUAACGAGGAACAAUUGGAGGGCAAGUCUGGUGCCAGCAGCCGCGGUAAUUCCAGCUCCAAUAGCGUAUAUUAAAGUUGUUGCAGUUAAAAAGCUCGUAGUUGAACCUUGGGCCUGGCUGGCCGGUCUGCCUCACCGCAUGUACUGGUUCGGCCGGGCCUUUCCUCCUGGGGAUCCGCAUGCCCUUCACUGGGUGUGUUGGGGAACCAGGACUUUUACUUUGAAAAAAUUAGAGUGUUCAAAGCAGGCCUUUGCUCGAAUACAUUAGCAUGGAAUAAUAGAAUAGGACGUGCGGUCCUAUUUUGUUGGUUUCUAGGACCGCCGUAAUGAUUAAUAGGGAUAGUCGGGGGCAUCAGUAUUCAGUUGUCAGA